GAGAACCACUAACUACCGAAUCAAAACGAUCAUCAAACAACUAAGCAGUUAGGAAACAAAAUUGAUUAUUUCGUGGCACCUCAGAGACCAAACACGAGAUUUUUAUCAGUAGAGGACAGUGAUCAAAAGCUAAUCUAUGGAGAUGAUGAACCUUGGCAUCAAUAAACUUCAAUCUCUAGUCAACAUUGCAAAGCACAUGAUCUAAGUGCUCUUUAACUUCACCUCGCUUCCAUGUAAAAUGCGGCCCUAUAAAGCUUGAGUCCAACUGACAAUAUUCAACCCAAUCACGAAGCUACAACGAGAAAAGCUAGCAGCUACCCCUCCAUGUUUCUCAAAAGCAUAAGCAAUAGAGUUGAAGUCCCUCGCUACUAACCAAGGCUUAGGAAUAAGCAAUAUUUGAGAGAGCAUCCCAUAAAAUGCGAUGAGCACUAUGCUGAGGACUAGCUUAUAUAGCACUGAACAAAAAACCACCACCACUAUUUAAAUGAACAUGAGCAUGAAUUAUAUUGAAAAUGCUGCUAGGCCACCUCCACAGACACCACAGUGUGAUCCCAAAUAAGCCAUAUACCACCCAAGAAGCCAAUUCAUUCCACUCUGUAAGAGCACCGAAAACCAAGUCUCAUAAUAAUACGAUCAUCCAUAUUACCACUAACCCCCGGUUUAAUAAG
rnacentral:misc_RNA from 1 species